rnacentral:lncRNA from 1 species
CCCAAGCUAUGUAUUUUAAAAGAAUAAUGCCAUAUUGUAUCCUGUAAUUUCUAGUUGUUUUAUAUCAGUAGGUUUUGUUUUUAUUUUACAGGUCUAUCUCAGAGUUAUUGUGACUUCAAUUCCAGAUCACACAUAAAAGUGAGUGUCACAAUAAAAUGAGUCAAAUGAAUUUUUUUGGUUUUAAGUGCAUAUAAAAGUCACAUGUACACUAUGCUGUGUCUAUGGUGUAUAAUAGCAUUAUGUCUGAAAAAUGUACAUACCUUAAUUUAAAAAUACUUUGUUGCUAAAAAUGCUAACAAUCAUCCUAGCUUUCAGUGAAUUAUUGCUUUUAGUGGUGGAGGGUAUUGCUUCAGUGUUGAUGGUUGACCGAUUAAGAUAGUGUUUGUUGAAGGUUGACAUGACUGUGGCAAUUUCUUAAAAUUAGAUGUCAGUCUCUUGCUGUUUCUACCACCUCACCUCUGCACCCACCUACAAAAAGGGACUAGACACUGAGGAACGACAAGUACAAGGCCAGAGAUACAAAGGUGGUCAGUAAGGAAACUCAACUUAAACAAAGAUGGCAUUGAGCAUGUAAAUGAAGAUAUGUGCUUAAUAGUAAAAGUAAAAUUAUCCUUUCCAUAAAGAACAUGAAAUUACAAAUCUAUGGAGAGAAGAAGUUCUUGGUCACUGCUGGGCAGUGCGUGCGUGUGUUCAGGGGACAGUGAACAGGAGCAUCAGCUAGAAAGAAGAUCUGGAUCCUUCAUCUUUUGGAGAUUUGCCCCCUGCACUUGUGGAUCCAGUUUGGGGAGGUCCAGUUUGGCUCUUUGAUAAUGUCUCUGGAGCUUGAAAUGAUUUCCAGUGGUGAAGGCCCGUCAUGACCCAUGUACCUCAUAUGAGGUAAGCCUAAGACAUAGUGGUUUAGAGCAUAGACUCUGGAACCAGAUUGUCUGUGUUGAAUUAUGACUCUAUCACUUAUUAGCUGUGUAACUUAAUUAAUCUCUUUGCACUUUAGUUUUAUCAUCUAUUUAAUGGGGCUAAUAAUAGUAACUAUCUAAGAGAUUUAGUGUAUGUAAAGCCUUAGAACAGUGCCUGACACAAUAAAUGCUAUAGAAGGAUCA